rnacentral:rRNA from 1 species
CCUGGUGAUUCAGAUGCGUGGGACCCACCCGAUUCCAUCCCGAACUCGGAAGUGAAAUCGCGUGACCCUGAUGAUACUUGGCCUCGAGCCCGGGAAAGUAAGGUUUGCCAGGA